GUGCCAGCAGCCGCGGUAAUACGUAGGAGGCGAGCGUUGUCCGGAGUUACUGGGCGUAAAGCGUCCGCAGGCGGUGCGCCCAAGUUCGGAGUGACAGGUGGUGGCUCAACUGCCACAGGCCUUCGAAAACUGGCGGACUUGAGAGCUUCAGAGGGAGGCGGAAUUCCGGGUGGAGUGGUGAAAUGCGUAGAGAUCCGGAGGAACACCAAAGGCGAAGGCAGCCUCCUGGGAAGUAUCUGACGCUCAGGGACGAAAGCGAGGGGAGCGAACGGGAUUAGAUACCCCGGUAGUCCUCGCCGUAAACGAUGACCACUAGAUGUGCGGGGGAUCGACCCCCUGCGCGUCGCAGCUUACGCAGUAAGUGGUCCGCCUGGGGAGUACGGUCGCAAGAUUAAAACUCAAAGGAAUUGACGGGGACCCGCACAAGCAGCGGAGCGUGUGGUUUAAUUCGAAGCAACGCGAAGCACCUUACCAGGGCUUGACAUGCUCUUGACCACGGCGGAAACGUCGUCUCCCUUCGGGGCAAGAGCACAGGUGCUGCAUGGCUGUCGUCAGCUCGUGUCGUGAGAUGUUGGGUUAAGUCCCGCAACGAGCGCAACCCCUAUGGUCGGUUACUGGUGUCCGGCCAGACUGCCGCGACUAACGCGGAGGAAGGUGGGGAUGAUGUCAAGUCAGCACGGCCCUUACGUCCUGGGCGACACACACGCUACAAUGGCCGGGACAACGGGACGCCAACCCGCGAGGGGGAGCCAAUCCCAGCAAACCCGGUCCCAGUUCAGAUUGCAGGCUGCAACCCGCCUGCAUGAAGUCGGGGUUGCUAGUAACCGUGAGUCAGCACAUCACGGUGAAUACGUUCCCGGGUCUUGUACACACCGCCCGUCACACCAUGAAAGUCGGCAACACUUGAAGCCGCUGGGCUAACCCCCUUGGGGGAGGCAGGCGUCCAGGGUGGGGUCGGUGGUUGGGGUGAAGUCGUAACAAGGUAACCGU
rnacentral:rRNA from 1 species